GUUGUAAACGACAAAAGGUUGUAAUGGCAAGUUAUGCGUUAUAAUUGGAAUCAGUCAAGGGCCGUUUGUGAUACGAGUGUGAUAUGAAAGGGUGAGAGUGGGGUUUUCUGACUGACUUCCAUUUUGUGCCGCAGUAACUAUGCCAUAUAAUGACAAGAGAAUAGCAAGGGUGUUUGUCUUAUGAAAGGGUGUUUGUCUCAUGCUAGAAGAAGGAUUCUUAGAAUAGACAAGGACUCGUGUUGUUAUUUUCAGUUUGUUAUAGACAAGGACUCGUGUUGUUAUUUUCAGUUUGAUAAGAUGUUUCAGAACCCCCGGAAUGUACCCACAUAUGGAUAGAUUGUGUUUUUAGUUUUGUAUAAAGGACGGGGAAUGUUAGGGGAAUUUCGGAAUCCACCUGAGACGCUAGCAGACGUGCUGCGUGUGAAUACCGAAUUUCCCCUUGAGACGAUCGUCCUGAGAUUCCCCGAUCCAGAGUGCUCAAGUGAUGCUACAAUAUUCGCAGAUGCACAAGCCGCCAUUGCUAAGUCAUCUCAGGAGCCAGUGGCAGGAGAGACGAAGGAAUUGGAAUCAUGGUUACAGGGUACAGCCCUUUGGGCACACCAAAAGAGUGGACAUCUGGGAGAAAAGGCAACUUACAGAUUGUCGUGAGGCUCAGUCUUGGAAUCCUUGGAAUUGUAUUAUUGGUCGUCCCCUCUAGUACAUUGACACCUGGAUUGAAGAUAGAGAAACGAGAGUUGCAUACUGUACGGUGGGGAUGGAACAAUGCCACCAUACCAAGAACCCAAGAUAAUUUCACGUGUCAGGCCAAUCAGCGCUGUACUAAUAUAGUAAAUAUAACAAUUCCAGGAACGAUGUGGGCUGGACCGCCUGAUCCACAAAGAAACAGAUAUCGACCUACAUUUGCCUUACAUCAGUCAGAAGGCAAUAUCACAAUUAAUGCUGCAGUAAAUAUAAGUUGCUGCUCCAAACCUUAUAGGUUCCGAUUUCUCCCUAAAGAAGAGAAGAAUAAAGAAUAUAAGAAUUGUUCUAAACAAGGAGCAACCACAUUUCGGUUAGCUGUAAAAGACGUUUUAAUUUUGGUAUGUCAU